AUUGAACGCUGGCGGCAGGCCUAACACAUGCAAGUCGAACGAGUGGCGGACGGGUGAGUAAUGUCUGGGAAACUGCCUGAUGGAGGGGGAUAACUACUGGAAACGGUAGCUAAUACCGCAUACCAUCGGAUGUUCCCAGAUGGGAUUAGCUAGUGGGGGGGGUAAUGGCUCAACUAGGCGACGAUCCCUAGCUGGGCUGAGAGGAUGACCAGGGAAACGGGAACAGAUACACGGUCCAGACUCCUAGGGGAGGCAGCAGUGGGGAAUAUUGCACAAGGGGCGCAAGCCUGAGGCAGCCAUGCCGCGUGUGUGAAGAGGGCCUGCGGGUUGUAAAGCACUUUCAGCGAGGAGGCGUUACUAGCAGAAGAAGCACCGGCUAACUCCGUGCCAGCAGCCGCGGUAAUAC
rnacentral:rRNA from 1 species